UACGUAGGGUGAAAGCGUUAAUCGGAAUUACUGGGCGUAAAGCGUGCGCAGGCUGUUUUGUAAGGCAGAUGGGAAAUCCCCGGGCUUAACCUGGGAACUGCGUUUGAAACUACAAGGCUAGAGUGUGGCAGAGGGGGGUGGAAUUCCACGUGUAGCAGUGAAAUGCGUAGAGAUGUGGAGGAACACCGAUGGCGAAGGCAGCCCCCUGGGUUAACACUGACGCUCAGGCACGAAAGCGUGGGGAGCAAACAGG
rnacentral:rRNA from 1 species